GACGAACGCUGGCGGCGUGCUUAACACAUGCCAGUCGAACGGAAAGGCCCUGCUUUUGUGGGGUGCUCGAGUGGCGAACGGGUGAGUAACACGUGAGUAACCUGCCCUUGACUUUGGGAUAACUUCAGGAAACUGGGGCUAUACCGGAUAGGAGCUCCUGCUGCAUGGGGGGGGUUGGAAAGUUUCGGCGGUUGGGGAAGGACUCGCGGCUUAUCAGCUUGUUGGUGGGGUAGUGGCUUACCAAGGCUUUGACGGGUAGCCGGCCUGAGAGGGUGACCGGCCACAUUGGGACUGAGAUACGGCCCAGACUCCUACGGGAGGCAGCAGUGGGGAAUAUUGCACAAUGGGCGGAAGCCUGAUGCAGCAACGCCGCGUGCGGGAUGACGGCCUUCGGGUUGUAAACCGCUUUCGCCUGUGACGAAGCGUGAGUGACGGUAAUGGGUAAAGAAGCACCGGCUAACUACGUG
rnacentral:rRNA from 1 species